AAAACGAUGAGCAAAUCCCCAGGCCUUGAGUGGGUCAGCAGUGAUCACAUCUAUCCGCAGGGAUCCACGGGGAAGCUGGUGUGCGCCGGAUAAAGGUAGGUGGUCCCUCUGGCACAGGCCGCCCUAAGGCCAAGGCCCCCCAGAUGCAGCUCAUUCCUGGCUCCCUCUGACAGAUGGCAACCGCCGAUGAGAUUGUGAAACUCAUGCUCGACCACAUGACAAACACCACCAACGCGUCCCAUGUGCCUGUGCAGCCCGGCUCCUCAGUUGUGAUGAUGGUCAACAACCUGGGUGGCCUGUCAUUCCUGGAACUGGGCAUCAUAGCCGACGCUACCGUCCGCUCCCUGGGUGAGCCAUGCACUGGGAAGGGGAUCCUACAGCCCUUUGGAAAGGGCUGAGGGAGGGUCUUGUGAUGGCAGAGAACACGGACUGUGCGUCAGAUAAGCCUGAGUUAAAUCGUCUCUCUGCCACCUAAUUGCCGGAUACCUUGAGCCUCUGUUUGUUUUCUUGUCUGCAAAUUGGGGGUAAUAAUAAUGGUACCUGCUUUAUACCAUUGUUUUGAGGAUUAAGUGAGAUUAAACAUGUGUAAGACACUCAACACAGCGCCCAGCACCUGGCACGAACUGAGUAAAUGAGACCUGUAAUUACUUAUCUUCCCCGACG
rnacentral:sRNA from 1 species